GAUGAACGCUGGCGGCGUGCCUAAUACAUGCAAGUCGAGCGAAUGGAUUAAGAGCUUGCUCUUAUGAAGGUAGCGGCGGACGGGUGGGUAACACGUGGGUAACCUGCCCAUAAGACUGGGAUAACUCCGGGAAACCGGGGCUAAUACCGGAUAACAUUUUGAACCGCAUGGUUCGAAAUUGAAAGGCGGCUUCGGCUGUCACUUAUGGAUGGACCCGCGUCGCAUUAGCUAGUUGGUGAGGUAACGGCUCACCGAGGCAACGAUGCGUAGCCGACCUGAGAGGGUGAUCGGCCACACCGGGACUGAGACACGGCCCAGACUCCUACGGGAGGCAGCAGUAGGGAAUCUUCCGCAAUGGACGAAAGUCUGACGGAGCAACGCCGCGUGAGUGAUGAAGGCUUUCGGGUCGUAAAACUCUGUUGUUAGGGAAGAACAAGUGCUAGUUGAAUAAGCUGGCACCUUGACGGUACCUAACCAGAAAGCCACGGCUAACUACGUGCCAGCCGCCGCAGUAA
rnacentral:rRNA from 1 species